ensembl:lncRNA
CUUGGUUACUAGGCCAAUAACAUAUUUUCUUCUUAGAGAUGAUUAGCAUGUCUUGAGAGUUUUUCUGAAGCUGUCUCUUGCACAUGUCUCUAAGCCUCUCUAUUUUUGUUAAGUGCAUGUUGCUGUCUGCUGAACUGUGAGAAACAGCAGAAAAACAAAGAGGCUGAUGUGGUUUUGUGAAAGUAUUAACAAAAUAGCAAGCAACCAAUGUGUGUUCUCACGUUACCAGUCAGAAAGCAGAGUUUCACGUAAGUAGCUGUUUAAUAUUGUGAAUAAAUCAAUCCUUCCAAUAUAUUUCAUCAAAUUAAUGAGCUUCGAUAAACUUGAUGCAUAUUACUUGUUCCCUUGUAUCAGGAUUUUACAAAGCUGAGCAAAUAUACCACUGAAAAUAUUGUAAAGUAUCACUGGGAGAACAUUCAUCUUCACUCUCCAUGAAUGGCAUUAUCUAGCAACCAUUCCUUAAAAUAGAACAGGGGUGAUGGGAGUCCCACUAUUUCUCUGGCCUCCUUUCAUUCUGGACAUUGAUUGUUUUCACGUCCAUAACGUUGCACUUGUGUAAGUCAGGUUUCUUUGCCUGGCACUUACUUCUUGUAGAAGCACUGCUGUGUAGCUUUAGAGGAUAUCAGCAGACAGCCCCAACUCACUUCAUUUAUAUGUCGCAUUUGAACCAGCACUCAACAAUAUUUGAGAAUCUUUCUCAGAUGAUAAUCAACUUCUCCAAGUGCUGAAAGAACCAGCAAAUUAUCUGUGUACCUCCCCUCAUGGCCAAGUUUCACAUCCUAUCGUGCUAAGAUACUUUGUCCAAAUGAAUGAGGGACCACUAAGAGAAGCACCACUGUGAGGUGGCUGGGCAAAAAUCGCAGUCGGUCAUCUCUAACUUUUUAUGCACUUUUGCAGCCACUGCUUAUCUUAACCACACUGUAUCACACCAGAACUCUUCCAGAAAUGCCCGUGUGAAGGAUGAGAAGAAAGUACUAAACACAGCACUCAUUCUUUUUCAUAUUUGUCUCUCUUUUUUCCUCUGAUGAUGGCCCAACACUCAUAAGUAUCUCUUCCAUGCUCUGGUGCUCUUUCAGCCUCUUUUUAUCUCUAAAAAAUGGCAACACAACAUAAACACACCAAAUGGCAUUAGGAAAAGAUCAUCCAAUGUAUUUAAGUACUUUAUCACCUCAGCACAUGGACAAAAUGAAAUAUUAUCCUGGGUAAAUAAAACUUGUGUUCUAACAUGCCAUUAGCAAAGGAAACAUCAAUACAAGAUCAGGGAGGCAGAACUUCAGCACUGAUUCCUUGCAGAGGGUUUGGAAAUGUGAUAUUUUCUGCCAGCUAACCCAGCACUGCACACAUGUACAAGUAAGCCCUUUGGACACAGGCAACCAAAAGCUUUCAGCAUGCCAGAAGCCUGUGCACAGAAUUUGAAUUGCCUUUCCAAAAGCACAGGAUGGAUAUUGGCAUCCAGUAGAGCAGCCAUACAUCCCAUAGUAGUGUUUUAGGCAGGAUAUGAAGCAGUGAACAGAGAGAUAAGCCAUUCCCGCAGGAACAACUUUUCUGGUCACUGAAAGAACAAGGUCUGGACUGUUAAAUGGGAAGAGCUGAGCUGCCUUGGCUCCAACAGAGUUAGAGGGCUUGCUUUGCCAAGGCUGAGAGCGAGGAUCUGAAGGAUUCCAGCCAGGUCUCUACUACAAAGUUUCAGAGGCGUAACUAUGCUGGCUAUGAGCAUGGAAAAAUCGCACCUAGUGAUGCCAGGAACUGCCCCGAUCUGGGCACAGCUGUGCUUUCAGAAAGCACUUGGGCUCGUUCAGCUCGUGUUGUUGAGCUGGGCUGGAGGCAGCCCUGCCAGGUGCCUCUGCUGGGGGCUGUGGUGGGACUGCCGGCGCAGCACUGCGGCACCUGAGCGGUACGAACACCUCUUCCAUGGGAGGAGGGAUCCUCUGCUGCCACAGGCUGACCCAGAGGUUGUUCAGAUUCCAUCUAGCCUUCCUCCAAGGGCUGGUAAAUUCUGUUCUGCCAGCCGGCGCAGUUUCGGUGGUUUAAAUCCUUCCCUCAGGAUGCAGAGGUCUCCUGCCAUUAGGACUUAAUAGCAUUCGGAAACAGGAAGGUCACCCUGUGCGUAUCGGCAGCUGCAGCCCCUGCAAGGCAGAGAGUCUACAAUUAUCUACUUAUUAAACUCUGAUAGCUCAAGUGUUCGUUAAUUAGUUUGAGAUUACUUUGAUACUGCCUGUGUAAGACUGAUCAUCCUGAAAAACAUGGCAUUAUCUUUCACGCAGACCAGCAAGGAAAACAAAAAUGAAUUUAUAUUCGUUUUGCAGGCCAAUUAGAUUGCUUUCAAGAAAUGCAUGAGCCCCUUUAAAGUCAACGGUAGCAACAAUUACUGAUCACAAAUGCAGCUGUUUACAGCAUGAACAAAAGUGACGAUCAGCCUCCUCACGUACUUGGAACUUGUUUUUUACUUUGUGAUGGAAAAUUUUUACAUAGUAUUCUUUAUUAAUGCUAAUAUGGUAUUUGGGAUGUGGAGAUAUGAAAGCUAUGUAAACUGUACAUUAUUUAGCAAAGAGUGUACGCAGCAGUAUUUAAAAUGUCCAAUCUAAGUAUCAGUUUUUUUCCUAUCUGCAGAAAAUAUCGUAUUUGCAUAUCAAAGGGGCAAUACGUCUCACCCAAAUGCUGUAACGAUGAAUGUAAGCGACCACAGUGCCAUGAGACCAAUCUGCUGUGCUGACAUCUACACAUCCAUCCAGUAAAGACAGAGACCUCAAUGAAUGCACCAUUUGAAAGUGCCUAGUAAAAAUUCAGAAGUCAUAUUAAACUCCUUAAUUAAGAAUGGAACUUGCAUCAAUAAGAUCCCCACUGAAGACAUUGGAGUUCAACUGCACAGAUUAUAAUGCUGGGUUUUUCUUUAUCCUAUUAAUUUUGCUAUCCAAUCAUCACCAGCUUUAUUAUUAUGAAAUUUGCAUUUCUAAACAGACUGCCAUUCUCAGUUUUCAGAUGUAUGAUUUAUGAAAGGUAUUGAAAACAUUCUUUUAAGUUUCUCCUAUGUAAAUAAGCACAUUUUCCCUGUUCUCUUUUCAGUGCUGACUUUCCCGUGAAGUAAGAAUCAACAGCUAUUUUUAUUACAGAAGAUACUCUUAUAUGCCUUCUAGCUCAUAUUAAAACAAAGCCUGUUACAAAGACAAAAGCUUUUUUACACAGUGAAGCAAUUACAGAGAUUGCAGUAUCUCUUCUACUUCAAUUGCAGACUAUAGGAGAUGCAGCAUUACUGCCACUGAGUAAUGCUCAUCGAGCUUUCUUUGAAGCCAGUGGUAGACUACUGCUGUCAUCAGUCAGAAACAAAUUGGGCCUCAAGUACGUCCUCAUUGAAGUAAAUUGCUUGUUAGCUUCUCCCAUCAAUGCUGCCAUUGCCAGGCUGAAAUAAAACUCACAGUCAUUUACACAGAAAAUACAGAAGGGUUGCAGAAUAUGACUUUUUUGGCUUGCCUGCUUCUUCCAGCUGCCACACGCAGACAGGGAGGAAAACAGGGCAAACCAGCCAGCACACAGCUCCCAGUGAUGUAAAGUGAUGAGCAAGACCCCCAGAGCAGGCUCCCUCAUACCAGCAACAGGGCGAUGCCAUUGGAGCAAUGGUCACAGUGCUUGCAGUCUGCAGGGCUCAGGAGCAGUUUGUCAGGCUGUCUUGACCUGCUCAGAGUUUUGCUUUUAUUUAGUUUCCUACAUUUUGCUUUGUUUCAUCUUGUAUGGCAUUAGCAUAGUUUUAUACGGACAGUUGUAACAAGCAGUUACUCCAUGGAGAAUGAGAUAUUUGUGACUAACGUAAUGAUGAAGUAUAGAGAACGACAGGGUUGGUAUGAUAACAAAGCUCCUGAGAAGUGGUGAAUGGGGUGCAGUGAAGAGGAGAGAGGCAAGGGAUGAGAAGGGAUGGAGGGCAGGCUGGUGCUGGAGACCCACCAGCUAUAAUCAGUUCACCCACUGCCUGUUAGAUAAAUGCUGCAUCUGGACAGAAACACCUUCAGGAGCAACAAGGGAAAUAAAGAACAAGUAUUAAACAUACCUAACGUGCACCACUUUUUGAGUAAAUUUGGAUGCAUUAUGGACUGACAGAGUUGAAUUAGGUUUAAAAAGAGCAAGGUGUGGAUGUGUGUUAGCAACCACACAAAAAUGACCCCUAUGCAGAUUCUAAGCAUGAGGAAGAAGGAGCCAUGGGAGCCGUGUUCCUCCCAGCAGGAGACUGGUGUGGCUGUACCUGCUCUGCACCAGCCCAAAGCCCAAGAGGAAAGGUGAGGAUAAGAAUGGGAAAAGGGGUAGAAAUUGAGAAAGGUGUUUGCAAAACGUUUAGCUGUAUUGUUAAGGCUACUGAGACCUUUCUUGCAUGGCAGUAUUCAUUUCUUUGUUUUAUUUCUUUUUCUGCAGUGGGUAGGUAGAUCUGAUUCUGCACCUGAGCGGUAGGAUUGUGUCAUGGCUUAACCUGGCAGGUGGCUCAGCACCACGCAGUCUUUUGCUCACUCCUCCCUUCCCAGUGGGAUGGAGGAGUAAAUCAGGGGGAAAAAAGUGGAAUUCAUGGGUUGAAAUGCAACUAUUUACUAAGACAGAGAAAAAGGAUAAUAAUGAUGACUAUAUAGGUAUGAAUAUAUAUAAAAAGUGAUGCACAAGCAAUUGCUCACUACUCCCUGUCCAACCCCAGCUAGCCUCCAAGCAGCGAAACAAAGUGAGAUGAACUCCCACCCCCUUCAAAAGUCCUUCUGUUUGAUGUCAUGUGUUAUGGAAUAUGUCUUUGGCCGAUUUAAGUCAGCUGUCCUAAUUCUGACCUCUCCCAGCUCCUUGGGCCCUUCACUGAGAACAGCCUUGGCUCUCUGCAGCACUGCUUAGCAGCAACUAUAAACAUCGGUGUGUUAUCAACAUUGUUUUUCUCCUGGAACCAAAACACAGCAUCAUGCCAGACACUCUGAAGAAAACAAUUCCAUCCCAGCUGAAACUAAGACAGAUUUAAAUCACGCUAACAAGAAAUCAUGGGAUUCAAAUGUGUUUCCCUUUUGCCCAUAACACUGUUUGAAGCAUAACACUCUCUGCUUUCCAUCUUCCCCCAAAUCUGGAGCAGUAAUAGGGUGCACUGAGUGACCAAGGGCAGCUUGGGACAAACAUCCUCCAAACCCACUCACAGCUUUCUCUAACCAUGGGAAUUUUAGCAUCGUGUCUUGCUCCAUGCAUUAAAACCUGCCCUGCCUCAGAACUGUGUUUUCCCAGGAAGAUGCAGAAGGCACACUGUCAGGGGACAACAGUUAACGUGAGUACUGGAUCACAAGGUACAGCUUUCUCACACCUCUCCAGAAGCGUGGAGAUCUGCAGGAGGAGCCCAGGAGUGUGGAGCAUGCAUGAAUCCCAAGUAACAAACCGCCUGCGGGUCCUCAUUGUCUGCUCUGAGAAAGUAGCUGAGAAGUGGAUACGGAGUUUAUAAUAGAUUUUAUGCCUGCAGAACACCAUAUGGUCUUUCCUUGGCACAUUUACCAAAAUGAGUGUAAAAUUUGUUCAUUCCACAAACCUCCUUAAAAGCCCUGAAUACAGUAAGAGGGUUAAUAAGUGCUUCUCCUCUGCCUGUAGAUAUUAGUUUUUAUAGCUAGAAGUUAAAUUUUAUAGUUACAUACAUUUUAUAUGCACUGAUUUUUAUUACCUACACAUUUCUGUGUUUAUGAAUCAUCCUCAGAUUCUUUAGCUGUUAGAAUCUAGGAAGGAAAGCUAAAAUGCUGCAUGGCAUCAGUGUCAUUUGUGGAUCUUCAAAGCGAGUUACAAAGCAUUAAAUCCAAGCAGUGACAGGUGUUCUGGUGAAACGGGGAGAGACACUUGAAGGCAAAAAUAAGGACUAAAAAAUCAUAGAAUCAUAGAAUCACAAAGGUUGGAAAAGACCCACAGGAUCAUCCAGUCCAACCAUUCACCCAUCACCAAUGGUUCUCACUAAACCAUGUCCCUCAACACAAUGUCCAAAUGUUCUUUGAACACCACCAGGCUCGGUGACGCCACCACCUCUCUGGGCAGCCCAUUCCAGUGUCUGACCACCCUUUCAGAGGGGUAUUAUUUCCUAACAUCCAGCCUGAACCUUCCCUUGCACAGCUUGAAGCCAUUCCCUCUAGUCCUAUCACUAGUUACACAGGAGAAGAGGCUGACCCCCAGCUCACUACAACUUCAGGUAGUUAUAGAGAGCAAUAACGUCUCCCCUGAGCCUCCUCUUCUCCAGACUGAACAAUCCCAGCUCCUUCAGCCGCUCCUCAUAAGGCCUGUGCUCCAGACCCCUCACCAGCUUUGUUGCCCUUCUCUGGACACACUCCAGGGCCUCAAUGUCUUUCUUACAGCGAAGGGACCUAAAUGUACAAAAUUAAAUUAUUGAAGAAUAACUUCAGAGAGAGAAAAGACCCUUUCUUACACUAUUCUGUAGGCAACCUGUUCUCCCACAAAGACAAGUGCAACUGCCAACUCUGAUACAGACAUCUCUUUUCCCUCCACCCUCUCUAGAACACGUCUGUGAUUUCCAAACAAUGCCAUGUGUUCUGCUACCGGAUCGGAUCAAGAAGCUCGUGCAGCUUAUCCGUAACGCCGCUGUCAGAACCAUUUCAGGAAUGCGUGCUUCGUCUUCAGGGUCUGUGCCUUGAAACACAGUUUGUUAUUUUGGGCUCACGGCAACAUUCAGCGCUCUGGAUUCAGAAGCAGCUGACAGUUCGUUUUCAUUUCUCUGUCUCCGCAUUUCUGUGUGUAAAUCCAGGAGAGUUCUGGCAAGCCGGUGACUCUGAGAGUGCACCUCCUGCUAAAUACAGAGGAGAAGGUUUUUAUUAGCAGAAGACAACCAUCAGCCUAAAUUGCAGCGUGACUCUUAAAGGGCAGAUAGAUAAAUCUGAAUGGGAACAUAAAGGUAAUUGCUAUAGAGCUCAUCAGAAGAAUAGGCACUUCUCAUACAGUUUUCAAGUGAUAUAGCCUUCUUCUGAGCUACAGGUCAGCCAAAAUAAUCCUUCACUGGAGAGGAAACUACUGGAUAUGUAUUUAUUGGCUAUCUAAAUAAUUUGAAAAGGAAGCAAAAAAUAAUUAGGAUCAAAAAGUGAGUGAUACACAAGCCGAAAUAUAUCAUCAAAUACAAGUGAACGAAUUCAUCCAGACUUAAUCUUGUAAAGUGCUGCCCUCUGAACCAAGCCCAGCAAAUCUCUUAAGCACGCUCUCUAAAUAUGAACACGUCUCGCUGGCCCGUUGGGUAUGACUUGAGGCAAUUGUUGCAGUGGGGUAUUGAACAGAGACACAGCACCCAGUAUCUUGCUGGAUUAACA